rnacentral:rRNA from 1 species
GUUUGAUCCUGGCUCAGGACGAACGCUGGCGGCGUGCCUAAUACAUGCAAGUCGAGCGAGCCGAACUAAUUGAUUACCUUCGGGUAUGAAGUUAGGGAAGCGAGCGGCGGAUGGGUGAGUAACACGUGGGUAACCUACCCUAUAGUCUGGGAUACCACUUGGAAACAGGUGCUAAUACCGGAUAAAAGGAGAGAUCACAUGAUUUCUUUUUGAAAGGCGGCGUAAGCUGUCGCUAAAGGAUGGACCCGCGGUGCAUUAGCUAGUUGGUAAGGUAACGGCUUACCAAGGCAACGAUGCAUAGCCGAGUUGAGAGACUGAUCGGCCACAUUGGGACUGAGACACGGCCCAAACUCCUACGGGAGGCAGCAGUAGGGAAUCUUCCACAAUGGACGCAAGUCUGAUGGAGCAACGCCGCGUGAGUGAAGAAGGUUUUCGGAUCCGUAAAAGCUCCUGUUGUUGGUGGAAGAAAAGAUAGUGAGGAGUAACUGCUCAUUAUUUGCCGUAAUCAACAGAAAGUCACGGCUAACUACGUGCCAGCAGCCCGCGGUAAUACGUAGGUGGCAAGCGUUGUCCGGGAUUUAUUUGGGCGUAAAGCGAGCGCAGGCGGAAAGAUAAGUCAGAUGUGAAAGCCCUCGGCUUAACCGAGGAAUAGCAUCGGAAACUGUCUUUCUUGAGUGCAGAAGAGGAGAGUGGAACUCCAUGUGUAGCGGUGGAAUGCGUAGAUAUAUGGAAGAACACCAGUGGCGAAGGCGGCUCUCUGGUCUGUAACUGACGCUGAGGCUCGAAAGCAUGGGUAGCGAACAGGAUUAGAUACCCUGGUAGUCCAUGCUGUAAACGAUGAGUGCUAAGUGUUGGGGGGGUUUCCGCCUCUCAGUGCUGCAGCUAACGCAUUAAGCACUCCGCCUGGGGAGUACGACCGCAAGGUCAAAACUCAAAGGAAUUGACGGGGGCCCGCACAAGCGGUGGAGCAUGGUGGUUUAAUUCGAAGCAACGCGAAGAACCUUACCAGGUCUUGACAUCUAGUGCCAACCUAAGAGAUUAGGCGUUCCCUUCGGGGACACUAAGACAGGGUGGUGCAUGGGCUGUCGUCAGCUCGUGUCGUGAGAAUGUUGGGGUUAAGUCCCGCAACGAGCGCAACCCUUAUUAUUAGUUGCCAGCAUUAAGUUGGGCACUCUAAUGAGACUGCCGGUGACAAACCGGAGGAAGGUGGGGAUGACGUCAAGUCAUCAUGCCCCUUAUGACCUGGGCUACACACGUGCUACAAUGGGCAGUACAACGAGGAGCGAACUUGUGAAGGCAAGCGAAUCUCUGAAAGCUGUUCUCAGUUCGGACUGUAGGCUGCAACUCGCCUACACGAAGCUGGAAUCGCUAGUAAUCGCGGAUCAGCACGCCGC